rnacentral:rRNA from 1 species
AUUGAACGCUGGCGGCAUGCCUUACACAUGCGAGUCGAACGGUAACAGGUCUUCGGAUGCUGACGAGUGGCGCACGGGUGAGUAAUACAUCGGAACGUGCCCGAUCGUGGGGGAUAACGAGGCGAAAGCUUUGCUAAUACCGCAUACGAUCUACGGAUGAAAGCGGGGGAUCUUCGGACCUCGCGCGGACGGAGCGGCCGAUGGCAGAUUAGGUAGUUGGUGGGAUAAAAGCUUACCAAGCCGACGAUCUGUAGCUGGUCUGAGAGGAUGAUCAGCCACACUGGGACUGAGACACGGCCCAGACUCCUACGGGAGGCAGCAGUGGGGAAUUUUGGACAAUGGGCGAAAGCCUGAUCCAGCCAUGCCGCGUGCAGGAUGAAGGCCUUCGGGUUGUAAACUGCUUUUGUACGGAACGAAAAGCCUCUUUCUAAUAAAGAGGGGUCAUGACGGUACCGUAAGAAUAAGCACCGGCUAACUACGUG